AACGAACGCUGGCGGCAUGCCUAGCACAUGCAAGUCGAACGAGAUCUUCGGGUCUAGUGGCGCACGGGUGCGUAACGCGUGGGAAUCUGCCCUUUGGUUCGGAAUAACAGUUGGAAACGACUGCUAAUACCGGAUGAUGACGAAAGUCCAAAGAUUUAUCGCCAGAGGAUGAGCCCGCGUAGGAUUAGCUAGUUGGUGUGGUAAAGGCGCACCAAGGCGACGAUCCUUAGCUGGUCUGAGAGGAUGAUCAGCCACACUGGGACUGAGACACGGCCCAGACUCCUACGGGAGGCAGCAGUGGGGAAUAUUGGACAAUGGGCGAAAGCCUGAUCCAGCAAUGCCGCGCGAGUGAUGAAGGCCUUAGGGUUGUAAAGCUCUUUUACCCGGGAUGAUAAUGACAGUACCGGGAGAAUAAGCUCCGGCUAACUCCGUGCCAGCCGCCGCGGUAA
rnacentral:rRNA from 1 species